rfam:Enterococcus canis strain DSM 17029 Scaffold2, whole genome shotgun sequence.
GGUUCCGUGGUGUAGGGGUUAACAUGCCUGCCUGUCACGCAGGAGAUCGCGGGUUCGAUUCCCGUCGGGACCG